rnacentral:rRNA from 1 species
AGGAUACUGCCAGUGACAAACUGGAGGAAGGCGGGGACGACGUCAAGUCAUCAUGGCCCUUACGGCCAGGGCUACACACGUGCUACAAUGGUCGGUACAAAGGGUUGCUACACAGCGAUGUGAUGCUAAUCUCAAAAAGCCGAUCGUAGUCCGGAUCGCAGUCUGCAACUCGACUGCGUGAAGUCGGAAUCGCUAGUAAUCGCGGAUCAGAAUGCCGCGGUGAAUACGUUCCCGGGCCUUGUACACACCGCCCGUCACACCAUGGGAGUUUGUUGCACCAGAAGUAGGUAGUCUAACCGYAAGGAGGACGCUUACCACGGUGUGGCCGAUGACUGGGGUGAAGUCGUAACAAGGUAGCCGUAGGGGAACCUGCGGCUGGAUCACCUCCUUAACGAA